AGCAUGACAUCCUGGCCAUGCAGGUCCAACUCUGUAACUAUGGAGAACUUUCUACAGUUCAAAACAACUGCCUUUAGGUGGUGGAACACAGUUCUUAAAUAUGCUGGGAACUGAAGCCUACCAAAUCCGUAAGAGCAUAAAAAUCAUUGACCUCACCUGGAACCUUGGAUCUAGUUUUACAGUUUGAAAGGCGAGCUGGUAAACGCUGGGCGAGUUGGCACAUCCAGCCAAUGGUGACGACGCCGCCUCCGCCCCUCGAAACUUUGCGAGCGAAGCGCCCGGGCUUUAAACACGUGAGUGUCUGAGUGGUGGCGGGAGAUUUCUCCUUCUGUGCCUGCUUAUCUGUACUUUCGAAGAUACUAUGCACGAUAGGGCUAAAGAACGAAGCUCAACUUAAAACAAAGAAAACGAAACUGGCGAGGUCCGCUUUCUGGUCCCGGUCGCGGUUCUUCCGGGCUCGGCGUCCCCAUCCGCCAGCGGCCGUUCCCGCCUGUUAGCGCGGCAGCCAAUCAGCUUGUCAGGCAGUGUCCCCACGCGCCGGGAGCCACCCUGAGCGUUUGCUCGACUGUCCUUUCUUUGGCUCAUCACAGCCGAAGGGGUAUCAGGUUUUCUCCUCGGGACUCUCCAGCUCUACUCGCCUCGUUCCAGCCGCACCGCUGUCCCCUGGACUUAAAGCCCAGUCGCCGCUGGGGACCGGCUAAGAGCUGUCUGUGCACCUAAACGAGGAUGGCGCGAGGAUCCGGAGGCAGAUUCGGACACAUUCCCCGAAGAGCACCUCAGGGCCAUUUGGGACGAUCGGUCCGGAGCCGGCUCCAUCUGGUUUCUCUCAAAGGGUGAAAUGUGUUCCUGAUCUUCUCCAUGAUCUUUAUGGCCAUGAUCGUCUUCCCUGAGCCAGGAAACUGAAUGCCUUUCCUGAAUCCAUGAGAAACACAGAAGUGCCAGAUCUACAGUAUAACGAAGAACUCAGGCUACAAAUGCGGGGCUUAAC